rnacentral:rRNA from 1 species
CCUACGGGAGGCUGCAGUGAGGAAUAUUGGUCAAUGGGCUUACGCCUGAACCAGCCAAGUCGCGUGAGGGAAGACUGCCCUAUGGGUUGUAAACCUCUUUUGUCAGGGAGCAACGCCGGCUACGUGUAGCCGGACUGAGAGUACCUGAAGAAAAAGCAUCGGCAAACUCCGGGCAAGCAGCCCGGGUACUACGGAGGAUGCGAGCGUUAUCCGGAUUUUUUGGGUUUAAAGGGUGCGUAGGCGGAAUGCCAAGUCAGCGGUAAAAUCGCGGGGCUCAACCUCGCUCCGCCGUUGAAACUGGCGUUCUUGAGUGGGCGAGAAGUAUGCGGAAUGCGUGGUGCAGCGGUGAAAUGCAUAGAUAUCACGCAGAACUCCGAUUGCGAAGGCAGCAUACCGGCGCCCAACUGACGCUGAAGCACGAAAGCGUGGGUAUCGAACAGGAUUAGAUACCCUGGUAGUC